GAGAUGGGAGGAUUGCUUGAUCUCAGGAGUUUGAGGUUACAAUGAGCUAUGAUCAUACCACUGCACUCCAGCCUGAGUGACAGAGCAAGACCCUGCCUC
rnacentral:miRNA from 1 species